rnacentral:misc_RNA from 1 species
CAACACUCAAGCUCUGCUUGGUAUUGGGCCCUGCCGGCAACGGCAGGCCUUAAAAUCAGUGGCGGCGCCAUCUGGCUCUAAGCGUAGUAAUACUCCUCGCUACAGAGUCCCGGUGGAUGCUUGCCAGCAACCCCCAACUUUCUAA